UAAAAAAAAAGAAUAAGCAAAAAAUGAGUUUUGCAAUUUUGUAAUUGGAUUUUAGGAAAGCAAGCAGUAAAUUAACUUGACAAAUCAGAUGUUAAUAUUGAGUUCUUGUGUGUGUGUGUGUGUGUGUGUGUGUGGUGCUGAGGACUGAACCCAGUAUCUUGCACAUACAAGGUAAGCAACUCCACUAACUGAGCUAUAUCCCCAGCCCCUAAUGUUGGAGUUGUAA
rnacentral:sRNA from 1 species